CUUCUGGGGGCUGCCCCCCUUUCUUGUUGCGGCGGAGUCCCUUUCUGGGGGAUGGAGGAACGAACCAAGCGAGUGCCCUGAAACCAGCGGAGCAAGGGGCUGAAGGGAACAGAAAGGGCUCCCGGCACCUUUUGCCUCCGUUCUCAGCUAUUCCCCAAAACGUGUCGCAGUCCUGGAAGAGGCGUUUGCCAUGCAGCCUGCCAAAAUAAAGACCUGUCAAAUCCUA